GCAGGAGUAGCUCAAUUGGUAGAGUAGCGGGUUGUGAUUCCGUUGGUUGUGGGUUCAAAUCCCAUCUCUUGCCCCA
rnacentral:tRNA from 1 species